GUCUGUGGCCACACCACCCUGAACACGCCCGAUCUUGUCUGAUCUCAGAAACUAAGCAGGGUCCGGCCUGGUUAGUACUUGGAUGGGAGAAAGAGAGACCUGCACACC
ensembl:rRNA 5S_rRNA 5S ribosomal RNA